GAGAGGAAAUCCUUCAUCUUGUACUUCAAUCCCUUGCUCCAAUCUUGAUUUCUAACCAUUAAAAGUGAAGAUUACUCCAUCAAAGUUACUUAUUAAGGAGGAUUAAAGCUUCUAGUGGAGUUGUUUUGGAAGAAAAAUUCCUAAGUCAUCACCUUUCUUGAUAUUUGAAGGUAUCAUGUCUAGCCAUCCUUCCUUUGUUCUUGAUUAUGUUAAAUUAAUGACUUGUGAUAGCUAAAGAGAUGUUUUAGUGGAAAAUUUCUGACUUGAAUGCAAAAAUUUCCAGUUAGGGUUUCAUUUCCUC
rnacentral:lncRNA from 1 species